UUUUUUCUCUCGUGAAACAGUACGGAAAAACUAUUUGAAAUCGUAACACACGCACGCACGCGGAAGUGAGCACGGACCACGAUAGAAGCAAUAUUCAAUUGGUUGGAGUGCCGAAAACAACAGAACAGGAGAGUAAAGAAAGCAGGAACGACCAUUCAACGCGCUAGCGCCGGAGAAGCGGCAGGGGGCAGGAACGAUCCUCCAACGUGCUAGCGCCUGUUAGAGGAGAAGUGGCAGGAAGGUAGGGACGAUCCUCCAGCUCACUAGCGCAGCAUGUUGGAGCAGCGAGAGGGAGGCAAGCAGGAAGAAUUUUUAACGCGUGAACACCAUUCGACGAAGACAACGCUGGAUGAAAG